rnacentral:rRNA from 1 species
AGUGGCAGACGGGUGAGUAACAUGUAGGUAUCUGCCCUUUGGCCUGGAAUAACACGAGGAAACUUGUGCUAAUACCGGAUAAGUCUUUACGGAGAAAGCUUUAUGCACCAUUGGAUGAGCCUGCACUUGAUUAGUUUGUUGGUAGGGUAAUGGCCUACCAAGACUUUGAUCAAUAGCUGAUUUGAGAGGAUGAUCAGCCACAUUGGGACUGAGACACGGCCCAAACUCCUACGGGAGGCAGCAGUGGGGAAUCUUGCACAAUGGAGGAAACUCUGAUGCAGCGAUGCCGCGUGAGUGAAGAAGGCCCUUGGGUUGUAAAGCUCUUUCGUCGGGGAAGAAAAUGACUGUACCCGAAUAAGAAGGUCCGGCUAACUUCGUGCCAGCAGCCGCGGUAAUACGAAGGGACCUAGCGUAGUUCGGAAUUACUGGGCUUAAAGAGUUCGUAGGUGGUUGAAAUAGUUGGUGGUGAAAUCCCAGAGCUUAACUCUGGAACUGCCAUCAAAACUUUUCAGCUAGAGUUUGAUAGAGGAAAGCAGAAUUUCUAGUGUAGAGGUGAAAUUCGUAGAUAUUAGAAAGAAUACCAAUUGCGAAGGCAGCUUUCUGGAUCAUUACUGACACUGAGGAACGAAAGCAUGGGUAGCGAAGAGGAUUAGAUACCCUCGUAGUCCAUGCCGUANACGAUGUGUGUUAGACGUUGGAAAUUUAUUUUCAGUGUCGCAGCGAAAGCGAUAAACACACCGCCUGGGGAGUAC